UGGGGAAUAUUGCACAAUGGGCGCAAGCCUGAUCCAGCCAUGCCGCGUGAGUGAUGAAGGCCUUAGGGUCGUAAAGCUCUUUCGCCUGUGAAGAUAAUGACGGUAGCAGGUAAAGAAACCCCGGCUAACUCCGUGCCAGCAGCCGCGGUAAUACGGAGGGGGUUAGCGUUGUUCGGAAUUACUGGGCGUAAAGCGCACGUAGGCGGACCAGAAAGUUGGGGGUGAAAUCCCGGGGGCUCAACCCCGGAACUGCCUCCAAAACUAUUGGUCUAGAGUUCGAGAGAGGUGAGUGGAAUUCCAAGUGUAGAGGUGAAAUUCGUAGAUAUUUGGAGGAACACCAGUGGCGAAGGCGGCUCACUGGCUCGAUACUGACGCUGAGGUGCGAAAGUGUGGGGAGCAAACAGGAUUAGAUACCCUGGUAGUCCACACCGUAAAACGAUGAGUGCUAGUCGUCGGCAGGCAUGCCUGUCGGUGACACACCUAACGGAUUAAGCAUUCCGCCUGGGGAGUACGGUCGCAAGAUUAAAACGUCAAAGGAAUUG
rnacentral:rRNA from 1 species